CUGUUUUAGCAAGGGUUGGACAAUGAAUAGACUGUUUUUUCAUGUGGGAAUGUUUGAUCAUGUCAGGUCCAAAGUUGUUGUCAAAUAAGUUGGUACAUGACUAGGCUUUUUUUCCUUCUCACAACCACAUACUGAUGUUUGAUUCUUGGCAGGGCUAAUAUAUGUAGUUUGAUGCUGUGGUGGCUGUGAAGGACUUGGGUGGCAGGUAACACGAUGAUGGACCUAGUUAAGAUUUCUCCGGUUUGAAUGUUGAAAAAACAGCAAAUUUCAUGCCGGAUUCAAUGGGAUAGAUCAGCCAGUCAUGGGAAUCGGAGGGCGCUCAACACUCGCACCGGGUCUGGCCACUCCAACUUCAGUGCAACCGAAGGCGACCACUAGCAAG